CUAACCUGGAAAAGAUAUUGAUCAAGUCAUCUCCUUGUUCAACGUGUGAGCUGCAACAAUAACGUGGAAACGCAGAAAGGAAGAGAAAACGCGCUCUGGAGAAAGCUCUUGCCACGAUGUGAUUCGCUCUUCUUGUCAACAUCAUCAAUGGAAUUCGAUUCUUGGUUUAAACAAGAAGAAAAUGAAUCACAACAAUGUGUACGCAACAUCAAGAACUUGAUAAUAGCUUCUCAAAAUCGCUUCUUACAAACGCCCCGAACACCACAACUCAGCUUCAAUGCCCUCCGACGGUGCUCAACUUUGAAUUGAUUCCGGAAACGCGAAAAACAACGAAAAAACAAAGGGAAAAUACACAUAAUCUAGCUCGAAGCACUUACCAGAUCGAUGUCGACUUCGCAGUUAAUGGAAUGAUGGCCUGCUACGCUGCUACACUAUUACUCAUUGUUUUGCUUGGAUGAAAUUGUUCAGUCUUGUCUGUGUUGCUCUGUCGCGGCGGGAUUUUUGAAUGUAAGAUAUUGGGUUAUCUUGACUCAAUUGAAUCACUAAAACAAGAGUUACCACCGAACUUUAUUGUAUCCAAAGACAUGGAAAGUGAAAAUAUCGAUAAAAUCCUAAGAAAGAGAUCUAGGUAAGCAAGUCGGUUAUGCAAAUGGAAGGUGUUAGGCACCCUUCACAUCCUUGGUACUCCAAGGGAACCAUUGAUCAUAUCUGUUGUUUGCCUUAUUAUGAGUAUCGAAAGGUGAGUGGGUUUAAAACAAGAAAAGGAAAGGGAGAGGUUGUAUUUUUUAUUAUGCUUGCAAAGAUUUGUUUGAACAUCCCAUGCCUACGUACCCCCCAAGUGCAAUGAAGGAUCAAAGUUUUGUAGUUCACCUAAAAGGUUGUUUUGUUUGUUGGUUGAUUUUAUUUGAGAAAGUGAUAAUAGGCCUUCCCACUUAAGAUAAUGUUCAUUAUACAUCAUUUUGUUCUUGCUUGCUCUUUUGUUAUCCACCCUUGUGGCCGGUUAAUUGCGAGGCUAAAAGACACUCGGCUUACAACACUGGUUGGGUGCUUGGUAUAUGGACCAAGUAAGUGCGGGGGUUAAACGUAAAGUGAAGUUUGUGUUUUUUAAUCUUUGAUUAAGUUGAUUCCUUUAUUAGGUAUUUUACAAAGUGUUUUGACAUGCAAAAAGGGUGGUUUUCUAAGUUAUGGACAAAGGAUGGUGGAAAGUUUUUCAUGCAAAAAAUUAACUUUAGUUUGAAUGGUUGGUUUUAGUUUAAGGCAUUAAAGCAUACAACCUCUAACCUAUCCCUCAUACAAAGUACCAUACCCCUAUCUAAAUAUAGUAUCCAUAGUAUCCUUAUUACAUCACUUUGAAAAGCAAGAAAGAUAAACUAGUCCUAAGGUGAUAUUUCCCCUCCACACAUGGAAUUUCAAAGACAAAAGGAAAUGUGAAAGAAACUAAUCAAAUGAAGAGAUAAGGCAUCUCUUAGUCUCUUGCUGGUAUCACAUGAUUUGGAAUGGCUCUUCCUCGUUGCAAUUUUCUUUUUCAUCAUGUAUGGAUGUAAUACUCUCGAAUGUAACAAGAAGAGAAAUAAUGCUAAUACAAUGACUUAACAAAUUUUAAACUAUAACAUAUAAUCUAAAUUGUUAGUAAACUUCAAAAGAUGAAAUGGAGAAGUGUGAUUCCAGAAUGACAUAUAUUUUUUUGUAUAUUUUUCUCAUGUAAGGAAGAGCACAUUUGAACAUGGUUAUCAAGGCACGUCACAAAUGGAAUGCAAACUAAACAUGCUUUCUAGACAAAAUGAAAUGAAAUGGAAAAAGAUCAAAAUGCAAAAACACUUAACAUAUGAAAUGAUACAUAGUGAGAUCAGAAUCAAAUAUAAUUGAGACACAUCAUUAAUCAUGCAAAUUGACAAAAUGGGAGUCAAAAUAAGGCAUGCUAGCAAGGUAUAAACCCUAAUCUACAACAUGCUUGAACAUUAGACCAAAAGUGCAAGAUGUAAACAUGAUAUCAAAAACAUUUGGGAAGAUGAAAUGAAACAAAAUAUAACCAUAUAUCAUUUAUGAACCAAUUUAAAACACUUAGGAUUUUCAAACUUUGGAAAUGAAUGAAUAAUGAACCCUAUGUUCAAACUAAAUGAAAGAUGCUUCAAAAUAGAAAGCUAAAAAGAAGAGAAGUGUAACCUAUUGCAUGAGGAUCAUUCACAAACAUUUUGGGAUUUUUAUCAAGUAAUUUAAAAUUACUAUGAUUUAAAUACAUUACAAAUAAUACCUAAAAGGAGAAAAAGAUUUUUUAUUUUCUAAUGGUCAGAAAAAUAAACAUAAAUCAUAUUAUGGAAGAGAAAAAUAAUCCCGACAACUUUCAUGUUGGACAUUUUUUCAAAUUCCAAACGGGAUGAGAAAUAUUAAAUAAACAAAAUAAAUAGAAAAAAUAGAAAAAAUAAUAAAAAUUCAAUCCAGUGGAAAUUAGGGGGACAAGGCCUAUGGUAAGCCAGCGCGCAGAUCAAUCCAUUCCCCUUAUUAAUAAGGUGGCUCAGUGUGAGCCACCAGAUCCAAUGAAGACACACCAUAGCGCGUGUUUCUUAAAGCAUAGGAACAAAAACAAAUUCAAAUUUUGGAGGGACCACACGUCACACUCCCAUUGGUCCAAUUUGAAUUUUUGGAAGGAGGGGCGUGUGGUCGCCUGAGAAGACGACCAGGCAACCAUGGGCGGUGGCCGGUUUCUGGAAAAAUGUAAAAAGCUUCAAAAUGAAAAACUCAAAAGAGCAAAGUUGCUCAAAAUUUUAUGGCGAGCAAGAUGAUAGGAUCCAAAAUUAUUUAUGAACAACCAACAAUGCAAAUCAAAGUUGGUACCAAAAUGAAACCCUGGACUACAAAUUACAAUUAAAUGCUACUCAAGUCAUGAAAUGCAAUUAAAUGGCAUAGUGAUCAUCAGGAACAAAUUUCCAACAACAUGGCAUCAAGAAAUUCACAAUUUGGUUCAAGUUAUAUACCUCUUGAAGAUCACUCGAAUGACUGACUUUAAAGCAAUGGUUCUCCCUCCACAUGUCAUUAUUUUGCUUGCUUCAAGUUGUCACACCUUCACCAAACUUCAGAGAACCUUGUUGAGCUAAUGGGGAAGCUUGAGUAUGCUCGAGUUUGGAAAACCUAUUCAAAGUUCAAAGGUUCAAAUGUAAAAUAUGCAGAGGUUCAAUGGCUAUCUAAGCUUAGAAAUAAUAGUGUAGUAGCCUCUAUUUAUAGAGGGGAAAUGUGUUGGUCAUUUGCUAAAUGAUUUCAAUUAGGUUAGAGGGAAAAUGUAGUUUUGAUUAAUCUUGCCAACCAAGUUUGGUGAGUGUUAGGGACCAAUUAGUACUACUUUUUAUAUCAUUUUAUUGGUCCCUUUUUCCAAGUUUUGAUGUAAUUACACACUUUUAUUCUCACUAUUUUGUAUAAAUGCAAUUAGGUUUAAUUUAUUUUGUUUUGAAUAGUUAUUUCACAUAUAUGUUAGUUUUGUAGAAUUUUUGGAUGAGAGAGCUUUUGGAAUGCAACAUUAUAAUAUGGAAAAGGUGUUGAAUGCAAUGUGGGGGCCCAAUUUUGGAAGAAUACCACUUGGAAGAUUUUGGAUGAAGCUUGCAAAGCAAGGAAGCUGAGAUAGCUUCAGUUCGCGCCGCGAAGGCUGCGAAUCCAGCAAGCUGAUUUUGGGCCAAGGGUGCUGUUUUUAAUGAUCAGCUGUUUUUGCCAUUUUGGUGUCUGCCUUGGAAUAGCUUUUCUGCCUUAGAUGGGAAAAGAUCAAAUGAGGAAAUGUCAACCCUUUUUAGAAAUUUAGAAUGGAAAUUGAUAUGUAUUCCAUUAUUCAUUAUUAUUCAAAAAUUGAGACAUUGAGAUUUUUUGUAAG